rnacentral:lncRNA from 1 species
AUUUUUAUACAUCAUUCUAGAAUCCUUCUAGAUAGGAUAUUUCUAGAAUUCUAUUUUGGGCCUUCUUUAGUUUUUGGGCCUUAUCUAGUCUUGGGCUUUUAUCUUUUAGGCCCAAUUUACAUUCUAACUCUUUUUCCCUAGGAGCUUCUCCAUUCUUCUAGAAUUUGCAUUACACUUUAACAAGUUCGUUGAAUGUGUAGUUCCCUGGUGUUUUGGGCUUGCAUAACCAAUAGGUUUCAUGAUAUAGGGAAGUACAUAUUUUCUCCUUAUGUGAGCGUGU